rnacentral:rRNA from 1 species
CAGCCGCCACGGGAAUACGGAGGAUCCGAGCGUUAUCCGGAAUUAUUGGGUUUAAAGGGUGCGUAGGCGGAUAGAUAAGUCAGUGGUGAAAGACGGUGGCUCAACCAUCGCAGUGCCGUUGAUACUGUUUAUCUUGAAUAUGGAUGAGGUAGGCGGAAUGUGGCAAGUAGCGGUGAAAUGCAUAGAUAUGCCACAGAACACCGAUUGCGAAGGCAGCUUACCAAGGCAAAAUUGACGCUGAGGCACGAAAGCGUGGGGAUCGAACAGGAUUAGAUACCCGUGUAGUCCCUGUCUCUUAUAC